rnacentral:rRNA from 1 species
UGGGGAAUUUUGGACAAUGGGCGAAAGCCUGAUCCAGCAAUGCCGCGUGUGUGAAGAAGGCCUUCGGGUUGUAAAGCACUUUUGUCCGGAAAGAAAUCCUUGGCUCUAAUACAGUCGGGGGAUGACGGUACCGGAAGAAUAAGCACCGGCUAACUACGUGCCAGCAGCCGCGGUAAUACGUAGGGUGCAAGCGUUAGUCGGAAUUACUGGGCGUAAAGCGUGCGCAGGCGGUUUGCUAAGACCGAUGUGAAAUCCCCGGGCUCAACCUGGGAACUGCAUUGGUGACUGGCAGGCUAGAGUAUGGCAGAGGGGGGUAGAAUUCCACGUGUAGCAGUGAAAUGCGUAGAGAUGUGGAGGAAUACCGAUGGCGAAGGCAGCCCCCUGGGCCAAUACUGACGCUCAUGCACGAAAAGCGUGGGGAGCAAAACAGGAUUAGAUACCCUGGUAGUCCACGCCCUAAAACGAUGUCAACUAGUUGUUGGGGAUUCAUUUCCUUAGUAACGUAGCUAACGCGUGAAGUUGACCGCCUGGGGAGUACGGUCGCAAGAUUAAAAACUCAAAGGAAUUGACGGGGUCAUAGCUGUUUCCU